rnacentral:rRNA from 1 species
AAGGUAGCGAAAUUCCUUGUCAGGUAAGUUCUGACCCGCACGAAUGGCGUAAUGAUUUGGGCACUGUCUCAACAGCCCGCCCGGCGAAAUUGUAGUACUGGUGAAGAUGCCAGUUACCCGCAACUAGACGGAAAGACCCCAUGGAGCUUUACUGUAGCUUAAUACUGAAGAUCGGUAAUGCAUGUACAGGAUAGGUGGGAGCCUAGGAAACCCGGGCGUCAGCUUGGGCGGAGGCAACCUUGGAAUACCACCCUUGUAUUGCUGGUUUUCUAACCUGCGGCCAUGAAUCUGGUCGGGGGACACUGUUAGGUGGGCAGUUUGACUGGGGCGGUCGCCUCCAAAAGCGUAACGGAGGCGCUCAAAGGUUGGCUCAGCACGGACGGAAAUCGUGCAUAGAGUGCAAACGCAUAAGCCAACUUGACUGCGAGACCGACGGGUCGAGCAGGUACGAAAGUAGGAGUUAGUGAUCCGGUGGUAUGUGAGUGGAAAUGCCAUCGCUCAACGGAUAAAAGCUACCCUGGGGAUAACAGGCUGAUCUCCCCCAAGCGUCCACAGCGACGGGGAGGUUUGGCACCUCGAUGUCGGCUCGUCACAUCCUGGGGCUGUAUUCGGUCCCAAGGGUUCGGCUGUUCGCCGAUUAAAGUGGCACGCGAGCUGGGUUCAGAACGUCGUGAGACAGUUCGGUCCCUAUCUGUUGCGGGCGCAGGAGAUUUGAAGGGAGCUGUCCUUAGUACGAGAGGACCGGGAUGGACAGACCUCUGGUGCACCAGUUGUCGUGCCAACGGCACAGCUGGGUAGCUACGUCUGGACGAGAUAAACGCUGAAAGCAUCUAAGUGUGAAACUCCCCCUAAGAUAAGAUCUCCCAUCCUUUAUGGAGUAAGGGACGACAAAGACUAUGUCGUUGAUAGGUCGGAAGUGUAAGUGCAGUAAUGCAUUAAGCUGACCGAUACUAAUAACCCGAGGGCUUGACCU